AUUGAACGCUGGCGGCAUGCUUUACACAUGCAAGUCGAACGGCAGCGCGGGCUUCGGCCUGGCGGCGAGUGGCGAACGGGUGAGUAAUACAUCGGAACGUGCCCAGUAGUGGGGGAUAGCUCGGCGAAAGCCGGAUUUAUACCGCAUACGACCUGAGGGUGAAAGCGGGGGAUCUUCGGACCUCGCGCUAUUGGAGCGGCCGAUGGCAGAUUAGCUAGUUGGUGGGGUAAAGGCCUACCAAGGCGACGAUCUGUAGCUGGUCUGAGAGGACGACCAGCCACACUGGGACUGAGACACGGCCCAGACUCCUACGGGAGGCAGCAGUGGGGAAUUUUGGACAAUGGGCGAACGCCUGAUCCAGCAAUGCCGCGUGUGUGAUGAAGGCCUUCGGGUUGUAAAGCACUUUUGGCGGGAACGAAAAGGACUGUGCCAAUACCACGGCUCGAUGACGGUACCCGCAGAAUAAGCACCGGCUAACUACGUG
rnacentral:rRNA from 1 species